CCCCUACGGGGCGCAGCAGUGGGGAAUAUUGCACAAUGGGGGAAACCCUGAUGCAGCAAUGCCGCGUGGGUGAAGAAGUACUCCGGUAUGUAAAGCCCUAUCAGCAGGGAAGAAAAUGACGGUACCUGACUAAGAAGCCCCGGCUAACUACGUGCCAGCAGCCGCGGUAAUACGUAGGGGGCGAGCGUUAUCCGGAUUUACUGGGGGUAAAGGGAGCGCAGGCGGCGUGGCAAGUCGGAUGUGAAAACCCGGGGCCCAACCC
rnacentral:rRNA from 1 species